rnacentral:rRNA from 1 species
UACGAAGGGGGCUAGCGUUGUUCGGAAUCACUGGGCGUAAAGGGCGCGUAGGCGGCCGAUCAGGUCGGGGGUGAAAGCCUGUGGCUCAACCACAGAAUUGCCUUCGAUACUGUUUGGCUUGAGACCGGAAGAGGUUAGUGGAACUGCGAGUGUAGAGGUGAAAUGACGUUGAUAUACCGAAGGAACACCGGUGGCGAAAGCGGCUAACUGGGUCUCAACUGACGCUGAAUGCACGAAAGGCUAGGGUAGCAAACUGGG